rnacentral:rRNA from 1 species
GACGAACGCUGGCGGCGUGCCUAAUACAUGCAAGUCGAACGCUUUUUCUUUCACCGAGACUUGUCUCACCGAAAGAAAAAGAGUGGCGAACGGGUGAGUAACACGUGGGUAACCUGCCCUCGAGAAGGGGAUAACACUUGGAAACAGGUGCUAAUACCGUAUAACAAUAACUGCCGCAUGGCAGGUAUUUGAAAGGCGCUUUUGCGUCACUCGAGGAUGGACCCGCGGUGCAUUAGCUAGUUGGUGAGGUAACGGCUCACCAAGGCGACGAUGCAUAACCGACCUGAGAGGGUGAUCGGCCACACUGGGACUGAGACACGGCCCAGACUCCUACGGGAGGCAGCAGUAGGGAAUCUUCGGCAAUGGACGAAAGUCUGACCGAGCAACGCCGCGUGAGUGAAGAAGGUUUUCGGAUCGUAAAACUCUGUUGUUAGAGAAGAACAAGGAUGAGAGUAGAACGUUCAUCCCUUGACGGUAUCUAACCAGAAAGCCACGGCUAACUACGUGCCAGCAGCCGCGGUAAUACGUAGGUGGCAAGCGUUGUCCGGAUUUAUUGGGCGUAAAGCGAGCGCAGGCGGUUCUUUAAGUCUGAUGUGAAAGCCCCCGGCUCAACCGGGGAGGGUCAUUGGAAACUGGAGAACUUGAGUGCAGAAGAGGAGAGUGGAAUUCCAUGUGUAGCGGUGAAAUGCGUAGAUAUAUGGAGGAACACCAGUGGCGAAGGCGGCUCUCUGGUCUGUAACUGACGCUGAGGCUCGAAAGCGUGGGGAGCAAACAGG